rnacentral:tRNA from 1 species
GGCAAGGUAGCUCAGUUGGUUAGAGCACGGCACUCAUAAUGCCGGGGUCGGCGGUUCAACUCCGCCCCUUGCUA